rnacentral:rRNA from 1 species
UACAGAGGGUGCGAGCGUUGUCCGGAAUCACUGGGCGUAAAGGGCGCGUAGGUGGCCCGACAAGUCAGUGGUGAAAGCUCGAUGCUCAACAUCGAGUCGGCCACUGAUACUGUUGGGCUGGAGCACUGUAGAGGCUCAUGGAAUUCCGGGUGUAGCGGUGGAAUGCGUAGAGAUCCGGAAGAACACCGGUGGCGAAGGCGGUGAGCUGGGCAGUUGCUGACACUGAGGCGCGACAGCGUGGGGAGCAAACAGG